rnacentral:rRNA from 1 species
UUGAACGCUGGCGGCAGGCCUAACACAUGCAAGUCGAACGGUAACAGGAAGCAGCUUGCUGCUUUGCUGACGAGUGGCGGACGGGUGAGUAAAGUCUGGGAAACUGCCCGGAGGAGGGGGAUAACCACUGGAAACGGUGGCUAAGACCGCAUAAAGUCGGAAGACCAAAGUGGGGGACCGCAAGGCCUCACGCCUCCGGAUGUGCCCAGAUGGGAUUAGCCAGCAGGUGAGGUAAUGGCUCACCUGGGCGACGAUCCCUAGCUGGUCUGAGAGGAUGACCAGCCACACUGGAACUGAGACACGGUCCAGACUCCUGCGGGAGGCAGCAGUGGGGAAUAUUGCACAAUGGGGGAAACCCUGAUGCAGCCAUGCCGCGUGUAUGAAGAAGGCCUUCGGGUUGUAAAGUACUUUCAGCGGGGAGGAAGGAUGGAAGUUUAAUACGCUUUCAUUUUGACGUUAUCCGCAGAAGAAGCACCGGCAAACUCCGUGC